ensembl:lncRNA
CCGGAAGUGACGGUGCUAGGUGUCUAGUUAUUUCUGUAGAGGUCGUCUCGGACCAACUCAGAUGCCGUGACAGCCACACGUGUGAGAAUACGCUCUCCGAGAUUUGAACAUCUCCCCCAGUUGUUGGCGGUGGCAUGCAAUUCAUCUGAAAUGAGACUUUGUAAUUGCAGUUUCUUUCAUGUGAGGUGCUGGGAUUCUGUGGUGGAGGAUAACUCCGCCUCCAGCUGACUCCCACGUGAGGAUGCCUCACUCGCUCAGAUGUCUUGGUUUCUUAGCCAACAACUGUCAGCGCACUAGCCCAGACGCCCAAUCAACCCCAGGAAUCACAAACAUUUGGCAUGGGAUCGGAUCAUCGGGAAUUCAAGGCAGCUUACAAGGACCCCCCAGCCAGGACCGAGUCCGACAGCCAGAUGAUGGAUCAAAGGGAAUCUCUACAUGACGACGCAUGACUCAGUCUCCACCUGCGGCUCCAUGUGACCACAGCUUUUUCAAAUCCCCCGGUCUCGUGUGCACAACUCAGACAACCCGAAUGGAAUGCUUUGGACUGAAAAUGGGGAUAAAGGUGGAAUUUACUGAGAAGAGAUUUCGGACAAGCUCCAAUUUUCUUGAUAUCGCCAUUCUCUUAUUUACAUCGUUGUGAUUACCGUUAACAGCCCACCUUUCUUAAAUGGGAGAAGAUAACAUGUAUUUUUGGGGUUAUUUUUUCAUUUGACAUUUUUGCAGUAUAAAAUAUGCAGCUUGACUGAAGUGUUUUGGGGCCAAUUCCAGUUCAUUGACAGUUUGUGUGGUGGUUAUGUACUUAUGUACAUUUGAAUGCAAGUACAUAGAAUUCAGUGUUUCUGAACAAACGGUCCUGAUACAAAUAUUAUGGCGUGCUGAUAUAGUAUAUGCACAAUGUAGACCUGUAAGGUCCAUAAACCAAAGUGUAACUGAGUGUGAGAAAGCAAAAAUAAUUAAAUUAAAUCUUUUUUUGAAUUAGGCACAGCGUUGAAAAGGCAGGCCGCCUGAGCUCCUGCUCACUAAUGAGAAGAGGUAUUUGGGAAGAGGGGAUAAAAGCUUAUCUGAGUUAGAGAGCGGAACUCUUCCCUGAUGUCAGCCCCCCGGGCGGCACGGAUGAAUAGCAGCGCUAAUGACAGCCACUAUUCUGUCAAUGGCUCGUCACUCAUCAUGAAUGCUCAUGAAAAUUUAAAGCACCAUAUUAAAAGACAGAUUGCAACUGGUAUAUCUUCCUGAGUCCAGAUGUGGACCCUUCAGUUUUCCACAAAGGCACUGCAGUUGGCGAGCUACACUGACUGUACACACCUGCUCAAUAAUUCAUCGAAAGUGGUUGUUAAUAAAUCAUAAUUUGUAAGUUAGGGAUAUUCGUCGUUGAAGAAAGUGAGGUUGAAUUUCAAUUGUCUGAGUAUGUCCUUUGGUGUCUUCUACUGUCUUUCUCCAUGUCUCCAGCGCCCCCUGGACAUUUCCCCCCGAUUGACACCAGGUCGACACCAGGGGCAGAAUAAUCAAGCAAGCAUUCUGUUUCUUCCAACACCAAGGGCUGCACUUCACUACAACGUGUUAGGCGGUGUCUUCAGCUUAAAGAGCUCUACAUCAAGGAUACAUAAAUAUUCAAAGCGAUCAAAAUGUUCUGCUUUUAUAUAUUCAGCCAUAAAAUAUGCAAAACUAUUCAUACUGAAUUCACACCUGCACAUAAUAUGUUGUAUAUAUUUUUAAGUAAACAAAAAGCAUAAUGAAUGUCAUGCAAAAUACAUUUAAAUGCUUUACAAAUGUCUGUGCUCUAUAGCAUGUUUCUUUUAGGCAUGUGCAGGUCAUAAUAAUAGUACCAAAUGUUGAAAGGCUGAACUACACUCCUUGUGGAUUGUCAUGUCAUACAUUUACCUUCAUGUUGGACAAAAGAAGAAUAUCACUGUAGAAAAGGCAAGGAAGAAUGUACUAAAUAAAUGGUAUAUUAAUGGUAGUUAAUUGUAACAUUAGUAGUUAAUUAGGAGAUUGUAUUGUCAUAAGGACUGCUGUACCUCUGCCCACUGGCCAAGGGAAGCAGUGCUCUGAGGAGAAGUUUAGACAAGCAGCAGUCAUUAAAUGUCCAGUUACUUGUGUCUUACAGUACUGUAGUUGACAUCCUUUGUUUGGACAAACAAAGC